AUCCAGGUGAUGAGUCGCAAACAAGACGAAAUACUGAUCAUGGAU
rnacentral:hammerhead_ribozyme from 1 species